rnacentral:ncRNA from 1 species
AUCACGGUUUGAACCGACCCUUUGCCGAAACUUUUGGUGCCGACAACAAUCGCGCGGCGAUGAUCCUGCAAUGCGCCGGCGACGAUUUCGGAUGCGGACGCAGAUCCGCCGUUGAUCAGAACAACAAUCGGUUUGCCAUCGAUCAAAUCACCGGGAUUUGCGUUGAACCGUUCCCCAUCGUUUGGAUCACGUCCACGGGUGGAUACGAUUUCGCCCUUGUCCAGGAAUGCGUCAGACACGGCAAUCGCCUGAUUCAGCAAACCGCCGGGAUUGUUGCGC